UAUAGAAUAAAGGUCAUUAAGUCUUCUUUUUGGGCAGCACAACCUAGAUAAUUUCACUUCCUUAUUAACAAUAAAAAUAUCAAAAUACUUUGAAUGCACUUAGUUUUGUAACGAACCUGUUAAACUAACUUCUGUCUAAAGAAAACUGUGAAGUUCCAUCAUUAUGCAACUGUAGUUAAAAUAAUUUUGAUAAAUUAACGUUGCUUUGGCCAGCACCAGCAGUUCUACCUUACUGUAACAACAUCAUCUUUCCUAUCCUUAAAUGUCCAUUAGUAAAAAUUUUGGAUUUGAGCAUAAACCAGAGUAAAAUUAUAGACUUAAAAAACAAUGGACUUUUUUUGUCUAAUUUAGGAAGUACUUCAAGAUCUGUCUGAAAUUGCUUCAUAGAAGUUAUUUAAUAGAGAAAAAAUGACCAAGAAUAAUUUUAUUGCACUUAGAAGUGCAGAAAAGAGGAAUGAAUCCAUUAGUUUUAGAGUUUCUUUGUAGAAUAUUAAUGAAACAUACUUUUGCUGUGCAAGGAUACACAACUGCCUGUACAGAAAUUCUUGCUGAUUUGAGAGACUAUUAGGCAAGUAAUACAACUAUUUUUGAGGUGUGGGAGAUAAUGUUACAGCCCCACUGUAAUUCAAUUCUUGUAACACUACAGGUAAUACCCGUCUAUGAUUGGACUACCUAGUAUUUUACAUUAAUAAAUAGAUUACUUAUACAUCAUCAAAUCAGAUUCAGCACAGGGCUUCUAUUCAUUUAUAGGCUUGCCUAGAAGAGUUAUCAUUUCAGUGUUUCAUCAAAGCAGAUAAAAGCCAUUAUGGUCAGAAAAAUAGAAGUCUGGUACAUUUAGUGUAUCAGAAGUCUGUAAGUCUAAAAACCAAACCUUAAUUAUUUUGUUUCUCAUCUGUCAGAAUUAUUUUCUUAAAAACUGAUGACUAAUGAUACUUAAAGUAGUGUAAGUAAUUUGAUGUUAGUCAAUGUCCCCUAAAUUGUUAAUAUUUAUCCACUAACUAUUGAAUUAUUUCUGUUUGUUUCAGUACAGAAAAUGAAGACAGUGGACACAGAGACAAGAAAGUUCUCUUAAACUCAGAAUUUUUUCGUGUUGAUUUAGAGUCAUAUUUAUGGGGAAUGCAAAAAGAAAAAAACUCAUUUUAUUAGACUGAUCAACUUGUCAGGAACAGAAUAAUAAUCUUUUCUUGUAUUCAAUGUUAUUUUGUAAAGUUCAUUGUUAAUUCAGUGUCACUUUAUUGUUAUUAAAUUACUGAAUUACUAAUAGUACAAUUCAUUACAAAUUAUCUUUUUGAAGACCUUCAUUUUUAUUCCAUACUCUAUAUGAAAACAUUCUAAAAAUGUAUUUGAGGUAACAAUUAGAACAGUUACUCAUUAGCGUCAUAAAGGUAAUCUGUUUGAACUUCUGUGAUUUGAAAGUUACUUCAGUUUAUUGCAGUGACUGCAUGGAAUACAAUCUUAAGCAGGAAACUGUGAUUUCAUUGAAGCUGGAGGGACGGUGUGGCCACCACAAAGAAGGACAGCAGAUCUUACUUUUCUAAUGGAGAAAGAUCACAAAUUCAGCAAGACAACUCAUCGUUCAUGAUCACCAUCUAUAAUCUCCAGAACUCUUCUGAGCAAGACAUUGACACAGAUCUGAUCGUCUUUUAAAUAAAGGAUAAUAUACAUCUAUUUAGCCCUUACAUCUGGAUCAAUGGGGACAGGCUUUCCACCCCUCAGAAGAUUCACUUACAUUAAGUGGCGAGGUGGAAGCAGUGAAUGAACAAUAGACGGCUGUCAGGCUCGACAGCAGGGCAUGGAUGUAUGAGCGUGGAGCUGACAGCGAGGGCCUCAGAGGGUAAUAACUCGCAGGAGGAUCCCUUCCUCUCAUCAAGAGGAAAUGAGUUGAAAAGGAGGCUCCACGUGUCACCUUUCAGUUGCUAGGCAGACAUUGAUAUGGCAGUCUUCUCUCCAAGUCGCAGGGAAACUCUUCCCCUUUUAGCUAUAUAAAACCAAGAAGAUUUGCAUUCUUCCUACUUUGCAGUGCUGCAAGAGAAUAUCUUUUUUAAGCAUAAGUGUUGGGGUUGCAACAUUUUUUUCAUUAUGCACAGAAGGCAUGCACUUUUCCAAAUGUUCAUUCCCAGUGUCUGUUUUAUAACCGAGAUGCUGCUAAUCCAAUAGUCCAUGGGUGAGAACUGACAGAUCUGUCCAAAUAUGUAGAGGCUGGAUGUCUGACAUUUCUGUAAAGCCUGACAUGUGGCUGUGCUGGUUAGCAUUUACUGCUUUGCUAACCUGAAGUGUUGAUAACAGAAUCAUUUCUUUUCAGUAAGUUUCCAUUCAUCAUGCUGAAAAGGUUGCUCCCUAGAAUUAUAGAGGCACAGGACUAGCAUCUCCAACACCAUAAAAAUUACGAAUUGUAUUUAGGAUGGGCAGCCAGCUAGAAUACGACCUGUCUAAAUUGCUGUAUAACCCAAAGAUAUAUACUGAGAACAAUCACCACUGCAACAGUUCUAAGAAGUGUUAACUACAGAGGGAUGGCAGUGUCAGAUCAUAGUCAAUGCAGUGCUGGCACAGUUUGUUUAGGGAGCUACUCAUCACUACGUACAUUCAGAAAGGAUAAAUGUGGAAGUGUAGUUACGCUGAAUGCAUCAAGUUAAUUACAAAAGCACAUCCCAAAUUUUGAACAAAAGAAAUAUAGAUGUAGCUGCUGAACAGGACUAACAAAGGAUGAACAGAUAUUUUUGCUGCAAAUUCUGCUUCUUAGGGAUGAA